GGUUGUGGCUCAGUGGUAGAGUGCUUGCUUAGUACAUGUGAAGCCCUGGGUUCGAUCCUCAGCACCA
rnacentral:tRNA from 1 species